rnacentral:lncRNA from 1 species
GGAAGUUGCUGUUCUUACAGCUGGGCUUGGCUGCUUUUCCUUUGCUUCUUUGUAUUUUUAGUAAAUGACCCACUGACUUUAUGACCUUUGAGACAUGCUUUCUUAUCCACGACUUGAAGCUUCGGCUGGAAGAUCUGUACUUGUGAAAUGUCUCUCUUGCGUGCCUGUGUUGCAUUUGUCUGGAUUGCUUGGCAGUUCCUUAAGUACAUGAUCCUGCAGUUUCUAUAUGUUUCGAAGUUGUAGAAGGCAGUUUAUUGGGGGAUGGUACUGACAGGACUCAGGUAACUACUUUUGUCGUCUUAGUGACAUACUUGUGCUGUGCCUUCCUGUUUUCUCUUAUUUCUUUGGCUAAUACUUUGCUGGAGGAAUCAUUUUGUACUCAGGUAAAGUGAAUGCCGAAGACAGAAGAUUUGGAUGAUACACCACUGACUUUCUUUGUUUGGAAUACACGUUAUGAACCCUUUCUGGAGCAUGUCUACAAGCUCUGUACGCAAACGAUCUGAAGGUGAAGAGAAGACAUUAACAGGGGACGUGAAAACCAGUCCUCCACGAACUGCACCAAAGAAACAGCUGC